UACGUAGGGUGCAAGCGUUAAUCGGAAUUACUGGGCGUAAAGCGUGCGCAGGCGGUUUUGCAAGUCAGAUGUGAAAUCCCCGGGCUCAACCUGGGAACUGCAUUUGUGACUGCACGGCUGGAGUGCGGCAGAGGGGGAUGGAAUUCCGCGUGUAGCAGUGAAAUGCGUAGAUAUGCGGAGGAACACCGAUGGCGAAGGCAAUCCCCUGGGCCUGCACUGACGCUCAUGCACGAAAGCGUGGGGAGCAAACAGG
rnacentral:rRNA from 1 species